rnacentral:misc_RNA from 1 species
CUGAAUUAACAUUCGGAACUUUCUUCACUCAGGUCCUAUGCAUAUUGCUGUUCAAAGGAGUGCCAAUUCCAGAAUUGGAAUGCAAACAUAUAGUGCUGAAGUUGCAUUUGGAAAAGUUUAGUUUGUAUGGGGCAGCUGGCCUUUUGCGAGCCUCGCCUCUUGUGGAGACACUCAACUUAGAAAUAGAAAAUCAGCCUUUUCAUGAUUCCAGGUGCUAUUUUGAGAGAAAAUAUUUGGUCAAAGGUGAUAAUAUUGAUUUGCAGAGUUAUAAUUCAAGCUCUGUGUGUCCCAACCUAAAGAAUGUUGAGAUUGCCAUCUCCUCUGGGAUGUGCAUGAAGGAGCAUCUCAACUGGGAAUAUAUCAGGA